GGAAUCUUGCACAAUGGAGGAAACUCUGAUGCAGCGAUGCCGCGUGAGUGAAGAAGGCCUUUGGGUUGUAAAGCUCUUUUGUAGGGGAAGAUAAUGACUGUACCCUAAGAAUAAGGUCCGGCUAACUUCGUGCCAGCAGCCGCGGUAAUACGAAGGGACCUAGCGUAGUUCGGAAUUACUGGGCGUAAAGCGCGCGUAGGCCGUUGAGUUAGUUAAUUGUGAAAUCCCAAAGCUUAACUUUGGAACUGCAAUUAAAACUGCUCGACUAGAGUUUGAUAGAGGAAAGCGGAAUACAUAGUGUAGAGGUGAAAUUCGUAGAUAUUAUGUAGAACACCAGUUGCGAAGGCGGCUUUCUGGAUCAACACUGACGCUGAGGCGCGAAAGUAUGGGUAGUAAAGAGGAUUAGAUACCCUCGUAGUCCAUACCAUAAACGAUGAUUGCUAGAUGUUGGAAAUUUAUUUUCAGUAUCGCAGCUAACGCAUUAAGCAAUCCGCCUGGGGAGUACGACCGCAAGGUUAAAACUCAAAUGAAUUGACGG
rnacentral:rRNA from 1 species